GCAGCUCUCUGGAGGUUGGUGGGCUUAUCCUCUCACAUGCUGAGCUUUAGCAGAAGGGGGUUAUGCCUCCAUGGACUGUGUGCUGUCAUUCAGUCACUGACUCGCAUACUCAUAGUUUGAUAAACAUUAACUGACUUCCUACUAAGCAUGAAGCCUGUGCUGGGCCCUGUGGUGUUCGGGGACCUCCAGCCUACAGGGAGCCAAAAGUGUAAGGAGAGACACAGGUUGUGAACAGAUAAGGACCCUACAGCCUCACGCGUGUUCCACUGCAGGCACCCAACAGCCUGUGAAAGGCCGCCCCCUGGCGGUCCCCUACUGACAGCAGCACCGACAGUGUCUCUGGUUAUAGGAAGCUCAUCUCUUUGUUCACAAAUGGAUCUGAGAAGUCAAAACUGGAAGGAAUCUCAGCCAUGGAAUCAUCUAGUUCAGAUACACACAGCACAUGGCACUCAUAUCACCCCUCCCAUGCUGCACACUGACAGGCAUUACUAAUAGAUAACAGCACUCUUUCAACAUACACCACUGCAGACAGCCAUUAGCAAUCAAUCUGAGGUGACCUGCUGAAUGACAGCUGAAGUAGUUAGGGUGCCUGGUAGGAAACACACAUCCGACACAGCUGAAAUUUUUGAAGAGACUGUGAAUAAAAACACUCUUUACAUAA